UACGAAGGGGGCUAGCGUUGCUCGGAAUUACUGGGCGUAAAGCGCACGUAGGCGGUCUUUUAAGUCGGGGGUGAAAUCCUGGAGCUCAACUCCAGAACUGCCUUCGAUACUGGAAGACUCGAGUCCGGGAGAGGUGAGUGGAACUGCGAGUGUAGAGGUGAAAUUCGUAGAUAUUCGCAAGAACACCAGUGGCGAAGGCGGCUCACUGGCCCGGUACUGACGCUGAGGCACGAAAGCUAGGGGAGCAAACAGG
rnacentral:rRNA from 1 species